rnacentral:rRNA from 1 species
GAGACCCACGCCCACAGUUGCCAGCGUACCCUCCGGGGUGACGGGUACACUGUGGGGACCGCCGCUGCUAAAGCGGAGGAAGGAAUGGGCAACGGUAGGUCAGUAUGCCCCGAAUAUCCCGGGCUACACGCGAGCUACAAUGGUUGGUACAAUGGGUAUCUACCCCGAAAGGGGACGGAAAUCUCCUAACGCCAAUCUUAGUUCGGAUUGAGGGCUGCAACUCGCCCUCAUGAAGCUGGAAUCCGUAGUAAUCGCACAUCAACAGUGUGCGGUGAAUAC